GAUGAACGCUAGCUAUAGGCUUAACACAUGCAAGUCGAGGGGAAACGGCAUUAUGUGCUUGCACAUUUUGGACGUCGACCGGCGCACGGGUGAGUAUCGCGUAUCCAACCUGCCCUUUACUUGGGGAUACCCCGUUGAAAGACGGCCUAAUACCCGAUGUAAUUCAUUGAUGGCAUCAGAUAUGAAUAAAAGAUUUCUCGGUAAAGGAUGGGGAUGCGUCUGAUUAGCUUGUUGGUGAGGUAAUGGCUCACCAAGGCGACGAUCAGUAGGGGUUCUGAGAGGAAGGUCCCCCACAUUGGAACUGAGACACGGUCCAAACUCCUACGGGAGGCAGCAGUGAGGAAUAUUGGUCAAUGGGCGCAAGCCUGAACCAGCCAAGUAGCGUGCAGGAAGACGGCCCUAUGGGUUGUAAACUGCUUUUAUACGAGAAUAAUUUGAUGCACGUGUGCGUUAUUGCAUGUAUCGUAUGAAUAAGGACCGGCUAAUUCCGUGCCAGCAGCCGCGGUAAUACGGAAGGUCCAGGCGUUAUCCGGAUUUAUUGGGUUUAAAGGGAGUGUAGGCGGUUUGUUAAGCGUGUUGUGAAAUUUAGAUGCUCAACAUUUAACUUGCAGCGCGAACUGUCAGACUUGAGUACACGCAACGUAUGCGGAAUUCAUGGUGUAGCGGUGAAAUGCUUAGAUAUCAUGAAGAACUCCGAUUGCGAAGGCAGCAUACGGGAGUGUAACUGACGCUUAAGCUCGAAGGUGCGGGUAUCGAACAGG
rnacentral:rRNA from 1 species